GGUGAAGAACGCAGCGAAAUGCGAUAAGUAAUGUGAAUUGCAGAAUUCAGUGAAUCAUCGAAUCUUUGAACGCACAUUGCGCCCGCCAGUAUUCUGGCGGGCAUGCCUGUCCGAGCGUCAUUUCAACCCUCGAACCCCUCCGGGGGGUCGGCGUUGGGGAUCGGCCCUGCCUCUUGGCGGUGGCCGUCUCCGAAAUACAGUGGCGGUCUCGCCGCAGCCUCUCCUGCGCAGUAGUUUGCACACUCGCAUCGGGAGCGCGGCGCGUCCACAGCCGUUAAACACCCAACUUCUGAAAUGUUGACCUCGGAUCAGGUAGGAAUACCCGCUGAACUUAAGCAUAUCAAUAAGCGGAGGA
rnacentral:misc_RNA from 1 species